GCAUAACGCGAAGAACCUUACCCACCUUUGACAUGUACGGAAUCCUUUAGAGAUAGAGGAGUGCUCGAAAGAGAGCCGUAACACAGGUGCUGCAUGGCUGUCGUCAGCUCGUGUCGUGAGAUGUUGGGUUAAGUCCCGCAACGAGCGCAACCCUUGCCAUUAGUUGCUACAUUUAGUUGAGCACUCUAAUGGGACUGCCGGUGACAAACCGGAGGAAGGUGGGGAUGACGUCAAGUCCUCAUGGCCCUUAUAGGUGGGGCUACACACGUCAUACAAUGGCUGGUACAAAGGGUUGCCAACCCGCGAGGGGGAGCUAAUCCCAUAAAGCCAGUCGUAGUCCGGAUCGCAGUCUGCAACUCGACUGCAUGAAGUCGGAAUCGCUAGUAAUCGUGGAUCAGAAUGUCACGGUGAAUACGUUCCCGGGUCUUGUACACACCG
rnacentral:rRNA from 1 species